AUUGGGGUGGCAGAGCAUGGUAAAUUGCAAAAGGUCUAAGCCCUUUCAGCCAGAGGUUCAAGUCCUCUUCCCAAUU
rnacentral:tRNA from 1 species